rnacentral:pre_miRNA from 1 species
CAUCUACUCCCUCCGUCCGGAAAUACUUGUCAUCAAAAUGAAUGUAUCUAAAACUAAAAUACAUCUAGAUACAACUAUUUCAAUGACAAGUAUUUCCGGACGGAGGGAGUACUUA